ensembl:snRNA U6 U6 spliceosomal RNA
GUGCUUCAGUAGCACAUACACUAAACUUGAAACAAUACAGAGAAGAUUAGCAUGGCCUCUGGGCAAGGAUGACAUGCAAAUUUGUGAAGCAUUCCAUAUGUUU